UGGACUACGAUGUUGCUUGAUGAAGUUGUAGCAUUUGUAAGCCACGAUUUUGAGUGGAGCCCUAAAGAUUCUAUUUUCAAAUUGAUUAUCAUGCUUUGCCUGCCGGAAAUGCAAGAGCGGUGGGAGACUCUUAGGGCAAG